GCUACUAAAGUGAUCACUGUUCAAAUAGAGCUCCAUGCAGAUCAGAGGCCUGCUUGGAUCAUCAGUAAAGAGUUGAUUUAUAGGUCAUUCCACCAAUCAUGGCAAAACUGGCAGAAAUAGUCAAUUGACGCAGCUCAAGGCAGGACCACAAAGAUCAAAAUGAUUCAAGGACCCAGGUGUGAGGACCGUCUGGCUCUCCACUUCCUCCCUUGUGGCCUCCUAACACAGAGCACGAGGGAAGAGCAAUGCUGCACAGAAGCCCAGUGUGAGGCACAUGUCUUUUGUCCACCAAUCAGAGGAGCAGAAGACUUCCCCUUUUUCCACAGAACGCCCAAAAGUAACGAAGGAAACAUUGCAGUUGCUGCUCAAAAAAAAAGGAUGUUCCUGUCCUAUGUGCCUGUGAGAGGCAAUAGUGACACAGUGUGGCAUUCUGAUGUUUCUCCUCGGUGAUAAGGUGCUGAGGAUAUCACCCGAGCUUUCCAUGCCAGUGAAGGGACAAGUCUGUAAAGACAUUUGGAGCAGCCAUGUUAAAGGGGAAAUUUAAACCAAGAGUAGGGAUGUUGAAUAAUCAACUGGGGAGCACACUGACUGACCGAGAUAAAAUAAAAGGAAGAUGGAAGCAAUACACUGAAGAACUCUAUAAAAGAGAUGCAAGGAUGACAGAUUCAUUCAUGGAGGAACCAUAUGAUGAAGAACCAGAAGUUUUAGAAUGUGAGGUGAAAGCUGCUUUUAAAAUACUUGGAAGAAACAAGUCACCAGGAACAGAUGGCAUACCAAUAGAAUUGCUACUGAGACUGAAUCUGUCCAAAUUUUGACAAAAAAUUGUCAAGAAAUAUGGAAAACUUAACAAUGGCCCACAGACUGGAAGCAUUCAAUAUACAUCCCAAUUCCAAAGAAAGGGGAUCCCAGGGAAUGCAGUAAUUAUUGAACUAUUGUCUUAAUAUCCCAUGCAAGUAAAGUAAUGCUCAAGAUUCUACAGCAAAGGCUCUUACCAUAUAUGG